AAAUUCAACUAAAAAUCAAAACGACUAAAGCGAAUCGAUUCCCAAAAUACCAAUAGCAGUAGUGUCAUUCUUAAGCCGUCUCAAGUAUAACAACAUAUUGACAAAACUCAGCAAAAUUAACAUAACUAUAAAUUAGUACAACUGAUAAACUAACAGAAAUUUUUUUAGCAAUGGUUCAGCAGAAAAUACCCAAAGUCGUGUAAUCGUUCUGCUUCAACGGUGGUUCGACUUGUGGCACGGAUCGGUACAACCCUUUUCUUCUCUCGAAGCUGACUAACCACACCUCACUGUAUUUCACGGCUGAUGACUUCAGCUAAAGCGAAUGGGGCUCAAAUAGCUCCAACGAUGGUAGCUUGUCAACCUUCGGUUCCGAGUCUUAACCGGACCGUUUCCUGCAAAAAACGAAUAAACCCACCAACAGAAUUGAAAUAAUAGAUUUCCUUGCUGUUCGAGUUUGUGGCCGUUGAAGGUGGGUUGUAGGUGACAGAGGUUUACGGUUUUGAAGAUGAGGGUUUCGGACGGUGGUGUGAAGUGGUGAUGGAUGUUUGUGAUGAAGAACGGCGACGGUGGCUUUGUGAUGGCGGCGGAAUGAGCGAUUUGGGUUUCGUGAGAGGAGGCGGAGGUUGUGAUGGAGCUUGACGGUGGUGUUUGGGUGGCGGCGUUUAGGGUUUGGGACGUGGCGAUUGUGAUGGUCGAGGGUGGACGAUGAAGAUGGCGGAGGCGAUUUGGGGUGGUGGUUGAGGAACAAUCGAGGGUUUCGUCGGAGAGGGUUUGUUGGUGGUGAAGAAUGUGAGGAGGAUUUCGGUGAUGGUGAGCGAAGCGUUUUUGUUACUGAUGAUGAGAGUGAGAGAUUUGGAGAGUGAGCGUGACUGAGGUGAGAGUUGAGCGGGUUUUCUGAGAGAGAGUGAAUAGCAGUGUUGAGGGAGUGAGAGCGUGAGUGAGGUAGUUGUAGUGGAGAGUGGGCGGAAUGAAAAUGAGAGCGUGAGAAUCCGUUAGAGGGAUUUUGUGAGGGUGAGGGACGCGUGGCAGAGAGGAUGAGAGAUUUUUUAGAGAUUUUUU
rnacentral:lncRNA from 1 species